rnacentral:tRNA from 1 species
GGCAGUGUAGUAUAACGGGUAAGAAGCUGGUCUUGUAACCUAAGGGUCACGGGUUCGAUUCCCGGGUAGGACACUGCCA